rnacentral:rRNA from 1 species
AGUGAACGCUGGCGGUAGGCCUAACACAUGCAAGUCGAACGGCAGCACAGUAAGAGCUUGCUCUUACGGGUGGCGAGUGGCGGACGGGUGAGGAAUACAUCGGAAUCUACUUUUUCGUGGGGGAUAACGUAGGGAAACUUACGCUAAUACCGCAUACGACCUACGGGUGAAAGCAGGGGAUCUUCGGACCUUGCGCGAUUGAAUGAGCCGAUGUCGGAUUAGCUAGUUGGCGGGGUAAAGGCCCACCAAGGCGACGAUCCGUAGCUGGUCUGAGAGGAUGAUCAGCCACACUGGAACUGAGACACGGUCCAGACUCCUACGGGAGGCAGCAGUGGGGAAUAUUGGACAAUGGGCGCAAGCCUGAUCCAGCCAUACCGCGUGGGUGAAGAAGGCCUUCGGGUUGUAAAGCCCUUUUGUUGGGAAAGAAAAGCAGCAGGUUAAUACCCCGCUGUUCUGACGGUACCCAAAGAAUAAGCACCGGCUACCUUCGU